rnacentral:rRNA from 1 species
CACGUAGGGGACGAGCGUUGUCCGGAUUCAUUGGGCGUAAAGGGCUCGUAGGCGGCCAACUAAGUCGGACGUGAAAUCCCUCAGCUUAACUGGGGAACUGCGUCCGAUACUGGAUGGCUUGGAUUUGGGAGAGGGAUGCGGAAUUCCAGGUGUAGCGGUGAAAUGCGUAGAUAUCUGGAGGAACACCGGUGGCGAAGGCGGCAUCCUGGACCAAUAUUGACGCUGAGGAGCGAAAGCCAGGGGAGCAAACGGG